AACUUUCAACAACGGAUCUCUUGGUUCUGGCAUCGAUGAAGAACGCAGCAAAAUGCGAUAAGUAAUGUGAAUUGCAGAAUUCCGUGAAUCAUCGAAUCUUUGAACGCACAUUGCGCCCGCCAGUAUUCUGGCGGGCAUGCCUGUUCGAGCGUCAUUU
rnacentral:rRNA from 1 species